CCCUGUUCACCAAGAAAUAAUUAAAUCUGGUCUAUGUAUGACAUGUAUGUGUGACUGACAAUGAGACAAUUCUCCAUCCAAGUCAUAAUCAGUUUGGGGAGAACCCCUUAAUGUUAUAAAUAUCCCUUUUACAUGUUUUAUGAGGGAUCAAUAUAAGUUAUAAUAUAUUUGUUUGUACAAAAGGGCUCAUAUUUUCUCAAAAAGAACUAUAUAUCUAUCUGGUAUUAAAUGGUCAAAACAUGUCCAAGAAUUUUGUAAUAUUCCUGGACUUUAACCAUGUUAACACAUUUACUUUAACAGUUUAAUAUUAUUCAAAAUAAGUG
rnacentral:lncRNA from 1 species